GGUUCGAGUCCUCCCAGACCCACCACUCUGAAUGUAGCGCACACUAAGAAUUUAUACGGAUCGGCGUUGAGGCCGGUGCGUGUUCUUUUAUAACUUGUGACGUAGCGAGCGUUUGAGAUAUCUAUCUAAACGUGUCGUUGAGGCUAAGGCGGGGACGAGAGUCCCUGAAAAUUGAGUCGUUACAUUCGCGUCCGGGCUUUGUACCCCCGGGCACAGAUGACUCCGAGGCGACUUGGGGUUAUAUGGUCAAGCGAAUAAGCGCACACGGUGGAUGCCUUGGCGGUCAGAGGCGAUGAAGGACGUGGCAGCCUGCGAAAAGUGUCGGGGAGCUGGCAACAAGCUUUGAUCCGGCAAUGUCCGAAUGGGGAAACCCACUGCUUCGGCAGUAUCCUUGAGUGAAUUCAUAGCUCUUGGAAGCGAACCUGGUGAACUGAAAUAUCUAAGUAACCAGAGG
rnacentral:misc_RNA from 1 species